UACGUAGGGAGCAAGCGUUGUCCGGAAUCAUUGGGCGUAAAGCGCGCGUAGGUGGCCCCAUAAGUCCGCUGUGAAAGUCAAAGGCUCAACCUUUGAAAGCCGGUGGAUACUGUGGGACUAGAGUACGGAAGAGGCGAGUGGAAUUCCUGGUGUAGCGGUGGAAUGCGCAGAUAUCAGGAGGAACAUCAAUAGCGAAGGCGGGUCUCUGGGCAGUAACUGACGCUGAGGAGCGAAAGCGUGGGGAGCGAACAGG
rnacentral:rRNA from 1 species